rnacentral:rRNA from 1 species
AGAGUUUGAUCCUGGCUCAGGACGAACGCUGGCGGCACGCUUAACACAUGCAAGUCGAACGAGAGAAGAGGAGCUUGCUUUUCUGAUCUAGUGGCGGACGGGUGAGUAACACGUGAGCAAUCUGCCUUUCAGAGGGGGAUACCGAUUGGAAACGAUCGUUAAUACCGCAUAACAUAAUUGAACCGCAUGAUUUGAUUAUCAAAGAUUUAUCGCUGAAAGAUGAGCUCGCGUCUGAUUAGCUAGUUGGUAAGGUAACGGCUUACCAAGGCGACGAUCAGUAGCCGGACUGAGAGGUUGAUCGGCCACAUUGGGACUGAGACACGGCCCAGACUCCUACGGGAGGCAGCAGUGGGGAAUAUUGCACAAUGGAGGAAACUCUGAUGCAGCGAUGCCGCGUGAGGGAAGAAGGUUUUAGGAUUGUAAACCUCUGUCUUCAGGGACGAAAAAAGACGGUACCUGAGGAGGAAGCUCCGGCUAACUACGUGCCAGCAGCCGCGGUAAUACGUAGGGAGCGAGCGUUGUCCGGAAUUACUGGGUGUAAAGGGAGCGUAGGCGGGAUCGCAAGUCAGAUGUGAAAACUAUGGGCUUAACCCAUAAACUGCAUUUGAAACUGUGGUUCUUGAGUGAAGUAGAGGUAAGCGGAAUUCCUAGUGUAGCGGUGAAAUGCGUAGAUAUUAGGAGGAACAUCAGUGGCGAAGGCGGCUUACUGGGCUUUAACUGACGCUGAGGCUCGAAAGCGUGGGGAGCAAACAGAAUUAGAUACCCUGGUAGUCCACGCCGUAAACGAUGAUUACUAGGUGUGGGGGGACUGACCCCUUCCGUGCCGCAGCAAACGCAAUAAGUAAUCCACCUGGGGAGUACGACCGCAAGGUUGAAACUCAAAGGAAUUGACGGGGGCCCGCACAAGCAGUGGAGUAUGUGGAUUAAUUCGAAGCAACGCGAAGAACCUUACCAGGUCUUGACAUCGUAUGCAUAGCUCAGAGAUGAGUGAAAUCUCUUCGGAGACAUAUAGACAGGUGGUGCAUGGUUGUCGUCAGCUCGUGUCGUGAGAUGUUGGGUUAAGUCCCGCAACGAGCGCAACCCUUACUGUUAGUUGCUACGCAAGAGCACUCUAGCAGGACUGCCGUUGACAAAACGGAGGAAGGUGGGGAUGACGUCAAAUCAUCAUGCCCCUUAUGACCUGGGCCUCACACGUACUACAAUGGCUGUCAACAGAGGGAAGCAAAGCCGCGAGGUGGAGCGAACCCCUAAAAGCAGUCUUAGUUCGGAUUGUAGGCUGCAACCCGCCUACAUGAAGUCGGAAUUGCUAGUAAUCGCAGAUCAGCAUGCUGCGGUGAAUACGUUCCCGGGCCUUGUACACACCGCCCGUCACGCCAUGGGAGUCGGUAACACCCGAAGCCUGUAGUCUAACCGCAAGGAGGACGCAGUCGAAGGUGGGAUUGAUGACUGGGGUGAAGUCGUAACAAGGUA